rnacentral:rRNA from 1 species
AUGGCCGGAGGAGAUGACCUCAAGCUGCUCGGCGCAUGGCCAAGCCCGUUUGUUACCAGGGUGAAGCUGGCGCUCGCCUUCAAGGGCGUGAGCUACGAGGACGUGGAGGAGAACCUGUACAACAAGAGCGAGCUUCUCCUCAAGUCCAACCCGGUGCACAAGAAGAUACCCGUGCUCAUCCACAACGGCGCCCCGGUCUGCGAGUCCAUGAUCAUUGUGCAGUACAUCGACGACGUGUUCACCGGCACCGGCCCGUCGCUUCUGCCCGUGGACCCCUACGAACGCGCCGUUGCUCGCUUCUGGGUGGCCUACGUUGACGACAAGCUGGUAGCCCCAUGGAGGCAGUGGUUGAAGGGCAAGACAGAGAAGGAGAAAUCCGAGGGAAAGAAGCAGGCGUUCGCGGCGGUGGAGGUCCUGGAAGGGGCCCUGAGGGAGUGCUCCAAGGGAGGGGGUUUCUUCGGCGGGGACGGCGUCGGGCUCGUCGACGUUGCGCUGGGAGGCGUGCUGUCGUGGAUGAAGGUAACCGAGGUGCUGUCCGGUGACAAGAUCUUCGACGCUGCCAAGACCCCGCUCCUGGCCGCGUGGGUGGAGCACUUCAGCGGGCUCGACGCGGCCAAGGCAGCCCUGCCGGACGUGGGCAGGCUGCUUGAGUUCGCCAAGGCACGAGAGGUUGCCGCUGCAGCGUCUAACUGA